UACAGAGGUCUCAAGCGUUGUUCGGAUUCAUUGGGCGUAAAGGGUGCGUAGGCGGCGCGGUAAGUCGGGUGUGAAAUCUCGGAGCUUAACUCCGAAAUUGCAUUCGAUACUGCCGUGCUCGAGGACUGGAGAGGAGACUGGAAUUCAUGGUGUAGCAGUGAAAUGCGUAGAGAUCAUGAGGAAGACCAGUGGCGAAGGCGGGUCUCUGGACAGUUCCUGACACUGAGACACGAAGGCCAGGGGGAGCAAACGGG
rnacentral:rRNA from 1 species